CAUAAACCGACUGAACAUUAAAAAAAAAAAAAACAAUUUGGACAGUUUUUCAUUUCAGAAGUCAGAACAGUCGUUGUCUCAUCAAAAAAAAAAAAACACCCACCGAUCAAAAUUUUCAUACUCGAUCGAUCUAAGUCUAAUUUACGAAAUCUCAUGUAAUUCUCUAUUUCUUCUCCGUUUUGUAAAUUGUGAAUUCUUUGAAGAGUGUUCUUGGCGAAGCAACAUCAGGAAGCCGGAUUUUCUAUGGGUAAAGCUUCACUUGGAGCAACAUAAGAAUAUGGAGGCUAUCAAAUUUGUUCAUUGGAGCAAUGCCUCAAAUCUAUAUGUGAAAGGAUAUAUCGCAAAACAUUCCAAGCAUUGAUUGAUAAAAAUCCGCGAAUAUCAUUUGGAUCAGAUACGGGUUGAACGGAUCCUAAAGCCCAUAACUUACGAAGAUCCGCGUGUUUUACCGAAUUACUAUGGGUUUAGAUCCGACCCGUAACCCAGGAUCCGCGUGUCAAUUGACAGCAAAGUUGCCAUUUUACCCUUCCACGUAAUUUUUUUGAUUACUUUUUGAAUGUAAUUAUCCUAAUGGCAUUCCCUUGUAAUUUUUUACACUUUUUAAGGUUAUUUUUCA